rnacentral:rRNA from 1 species
AUUGAACGCUGGCGGUAGGCCUAACACAUGCAAGUCGAACGCGAAAGUCCUUCGGGAUGAGUAGAGUGGCGGACGGGUGAGUAACGCGUAGGAAUCUAUCCUGUAGUGGGGGAUAACGUUUCGAAGGGAACGCUAAUACCGCAUACGCCCCACGGGGGAAAGCGGGGGAUCUUCGGACCUCGUGCUCUAGGAGGCGCCUGCGUCGGAUUAGCUGGUUGGGGAGGUAAAGGCUCAACAAGGCGACGAGCCGGAGCUGGUCUGAGAGGAUGAGCAGCCACACCGGAACUGAGACACGGUCCGGACUCCUACGGGAGGCAGCAGUGGGGAAUAUUGCGCAAUGGGCGAAAGCCUGACGCAGCCAUACCGCGUGUGUGAAGAAGGCCUUCGGGUUGUAAAGCACUUUCAGUGGGGAGGAAAAGCUGGUGGCUAAUAUCCAUCGGCCGUGACGCUACCCACAGAAGAAGCACCGGCUAAUUCCGUGCCAGCCGCCCGUAACAC